GAUGAACGCUGGCGGCGUGCCUAAUACGUGCAAGUAGAACGCUGAAGGAGGAGCUUGCUCUUCUGGAUGGGUUGCGAACGGGUGAGUAACGCGUAGGUAACCUGCCUGGUAGCGGGGGAUAACUAUUGGAAACGAUAGCUAAUACCGCAUGACAACAGUUAUUGCAUGAUAACUGUUUAAAAGGGGCAACUGCUCCACUACCAGAUGGACCUGCGUUGUAUUAGCUAGUUGGUGAGGUAACGGCUCACCAAGGCGACGAUACAUAGCCGACCUGAGAGGGGGAUCGGCCACACUGGGACUGAGACACGGCCCAGACUCCUACGGGAGGCAGCAGUAGGGAAUCUUCGGCAAUGGACGGAAGUCUGACCGAGCAACGCCGCGUGAGUGAAGAAGGUUUUCGGAUCGUAAAGCUCUGUUGUAAGAGAAGAACGAGUGUGAGAGUGGAAAGUUCACACUGUGACGGUAUCUUACCAGAAAGGGACGGCUAACUACGUG
rnacentral:rRNA from 1 species